rnacentral:rRNA from 1 species
GACGAACGCUGGCGGCGUGCUUAACACAUGCAAGUCGAACGGAAAGGCCCUGCUUUUGUGGGGUGCUCGAGUGGCGAACGGGUGAGUAACACGUGAGUAACCUGCCCUUGACUCUGGGAUAACUUCAGGAAACUGGGGCUAAUACCGGAUAGGAGCUCCUGCUGCAUGGUGGGGGUUGGAAAGUUUCGGCGGUUGGGGAUGGACUCGCGGCUUAUCAGCUUGUUGGUGGGGUAGUGGCUUACCAAGGCUUUGACGGGUAGCCGGCCUGAGAGGGUGACCGGCCACAUUGGGACUGAGAUACGGCCCAGACUCCUACGGGAGGCAGCAGUGGGGAAUAUUGCACAAUGGGCGGAAGCCUGAUGCAGCAACGCCGCGUGCGGGAUGACGGCCUUCGGGUUGUAAACCGCUUUCGCCUGUGGCGAAGCGUGAGUGACGGUAAUGGGUAAAGAAGCACCGGCUAACUACGUG